rnacentral:rRNA from 1 species
UCGAUGCCUGGAACUGGCUCGAGCUUGAAACGCUUCGGCGUCACAGGAUGUGGCUGCGGCCGAUUAGGUAGACGGUGGGGUAACGGCCCACCGUGCCGAUAAUCGGUACGGGUUGUGAGAGCAAGAGCCCGGAGACGGAAUCUGAGACAAGAUUCCGGGCCCUACGGGGCGCAGCAGGCGCGAAACCUUUACACUGCACGACAGUGCGAUAGGGGGACUCCAAGUGCGAGGGCAUACAGUCCUCGCUUUUGUGUACCGUAAGGUGGCACACGAAUAAGUGCUGGGCAAGACCGGUGCCAGCCGCCGCGGUAAUACCGGCAGCACAAGUGAUGGCCGCUAUUAUUGGGCCUAAAGCGUCCGUAGCCGGCCGAACAAGUCCGUCGGGAAAUCUGCUCGCCUAACGAGCAGGCGUCCGGCGGAAACUGUUCGGCUCGGGACCGGAAGAUCUGAGGGGUACGUCCAGGGUAGGAGUGAAAUCCCGUAAUCCUGGACGGACCACCGGUGGCGAAAGCGCCUCAGAAGGACGGAUCCGACGGUGAGGGACGAAAGCUAGGGUCACGAACCGGAUUAGAUACCCGGGUAGUCCUAGCCGUAAACGAUGUCUGCUAGGUGUGGCACUGGCUACGAGCCAGUGCUGUGCCG